CUGAGACAUGCUACAGAUGAAUUACCAGAAAACUAUGAUGAUGUCGUCAUCAUACAACAGUUCUCCAAUGAUAAAGCAGAGGCUGUUCAGGAGGAGUAUGAUGAUGUGAAGAUUGUCAGAGAAUAUAUGAGUGACAUGUUUGACUAUGAUGAUGUGGAGGAGGAUCCAG